UGAUUCCCUCAGUAACGGCGAGUGAACAGGGAAAAGCUCAAAGUUGGAACCUCCUGGCCCUAGGCCUGGCGGAUUGUAAACUAAAGCUCUCGAGUAGUUUGGCUAGCCCAGUAAUCAAGUUCUCUGGAAAGGGACGACAAAGAGGGUGAAAUCCCCGUUUUUGGCUGGAGCGUAGUCUUGCGUUUGCUUGAAAGUGAAGAGUCAGGUUGUUUGGUAUUGCAGCCUAAAGUUGGAGGUAAAUCUCUCCUAAAGCUAAAUAUUGACGAAAGACCGAUAGCGAACAAGUACCGUGAGGGAAAGAUGAAAAGCACCUUGAAAAGGGGGUCAAAAAGUACGUGAAAUUGCUGAAAGGGAACCGUAUGAAAUCAGUCUGUCUCUUUGGUAAUCAACCUGGGCCUCGGCCUGGGUGCACUUGCCAGUGAGUACAGCCUACGACAAUUUGACUCGGGGGAAAAAAUCAGGGGGAAUGUGGCCUCGGCUUCGGUCGUGGUGUUAUAGCCCCUUGAAAAAUACUCUGGGUUAGAUUGAGGACUGCAGCGAGCCUUUGGGAUGAACUGUGGGUGCUUGGCGGCGGCUGGGAGGAAAUCUCUAUCUCUGGUAGUGUCUUUCCUUUCGCUGUCAACUCGCCUACUUUUUCUUUUUCUCGCUUAGGUCGUAGGCAUAAUGAUUUUAUAUGACC
rnacentral:rRNA from 1 species